rnacentral:rRNA from 1 species
UACGGAGGGUGCAAGCGUUAUCCGGAUUCACUGGGUUUAAAGGUGCGUAGGUGGGCAGGUAAGUCAGUGGUGAAUCUCCGGCUUAACCCGGAACUGCCGUUGAUACUAUCUGUCUUGAAUGUAGUGGAGGUGAGCGGAAUAUGUCAGUGUAGCGGUGAAAUGCUUAGAUAUGACAUAGAACACCAAUUGCGAAGGCAGCUCACUACACGGUCAUUGACACUGAGGCACGAAAGCGUGGGAUCAAACAGG